rnacentral:rRNA from 1 species
UACGAAGGGGGCUAGCGUUGUUCGGAUUUACUGGGCGUAAAGCGCACGUAGGCGGAUCUUUAAGUCAGGGGUGAAAUCCCGAGGCUCAACCUCGGAACUGCCUUUGAUACUGGGGAUCUCGAGUCCGGGAGAGGUGAGUGGAACUGCGAGUGUAGAGGUGAAAUUCGUAGAUAUUCGCAAGAACACCAGUGGCGAAGGCGGCUCACUGGCCCGGAACUGACGCUGAGGCACGAAAGGC